rnacentral:rRNA from 1 species
UGGGGAAUUUUGCACAAUGGGCGCAAGCCUGAUGCAGCCAUGCCGCGUGUGUGAAGAAGGUCUUCGGAUUGUAAAGCACUUUAAGUUGGGAGGAAGGGCAUUAACCUAAUACGUUAGUGUUUUGACGUUACCGACAGAAUAAGCACCGGCUAACUCUGUGCCAGCAGCCGCGGUAAUACAGAGGGUGCAAGCGUUAAUCGGAAUUACUGGGCGUAAAGCGCGCGUAGGUGGUUUGUUAAGUUGGAUGUGAAAUCCCCGGGCUCAACCUGGGAACUGCAUUCAAAACUGACUGACUAGAGUAUGGUAGAGGGUGGUGGAAUUUCCUGUGUAGCGGUGAAAUGCGUAGAUAUAGGAAGGAACACCAGUGGCGAAGGCGACCACCUGGACUAAUACUGACACUGAGGUGCGAAAGCGUGGGGAGCAAACA